rnacentral:lncRNA from 1 species
GGAAUUAAUUGUAAUUGUGGUUUGUCUUCGACCCAAAUUGGAGAAUUUCUAUUGCAGCUCACUACUUUCAGCUUGUUUCAUUUACUGUGUUCCAACAAAUAAGUAUAGGAAACAUCGUAAAUUGUCGAAAAAAGGAAGGCUGUCACUAUUUUGUCGGCAAAUUCAGAAUGCACAUUGUUCAAUUAUAAACUCAUCUAUGCCAAAAUAAAGCUAUAAGUUUUUGAGGAAGACAGCUAUAUGGGAAUGCUCUUCUAAAAUGGAUGAUUCACCAUUGUUCAAGAAACUGAUUUCUAUUGCAGAUUUGUUGAAGCGAUAUGAGGGAACAUCACAGGCAGCCACCCUAAAAAUCUCAAAUUGGGUUUGAGGAGAUAACAUAAGCAUUACCAUGGCUUAUGAUUAUUUCUGUCCAAAGGGGCUACUGUGAGCUGGGAAAAGGACGUUUGGAGCUCAUGUGUCACCCUCAUGCAUUCUUUGACUUAGUGCAAAAACACGAACUUCUCGCUAAAUACCACCUGCAAUAUAUGAACAUUGACGAUACAUGUGUGUUUGAACUACAGCUGAAUCUGCCCAACACUUGUUCUUCCAAUGUGUCAUAAGUUCAGAGAUUUGGGGAAAAAUUAGAGCUGGGUUGGGCAUCAAAAGAACCAUGACUACAACUGUUAGUGCCUCAAAAUGGACGAAGAAGGAGGGACGAGGGACUACUUGGCAAAGCAAGGCUAAGAGAGUUGCAUUAGCGAGCACUAUUAACCAUAUGUGGACAGCCCGUAAUAAGCUACUUUUUAAAGAUCUUAAAAUGCAAUCUGAGAGCACAGAUCAAACACAUGUUUAUAAGGUAAUAUUUUCAUUAUAUCCUCACGUUUUGAUUCAGUUCAAGCAGAGACGGAUAGAGGGGGGGGGGGGGGCGGGGCGGGGCCUGUAGCCCCCCCCCCAGGUCCAAAAAAAUUUUUUUAAGGUAUUUUUUUUUUUUUGGGGUAAAAAAUCAGUUUAUUAUGUGUAAAAAAAAUUUUUUUCCACGUAAUAGCCCGGUUUGAAAUUUUUAGCCCGAUCGUGAAUCCAAUCCUGAAUCCGUCCCUAAGUUCAAGUCAUUAGCAUCAGGGUCUUUAGAUCAUUAUUAUUUAUACAUAGUUUGAUCAUGACUGCUUAGGUGUGUCUAGAGUAUUUGUAAACAUGUAGAGUGAUCAAUAAAACUUUUAUUUCUCGUUAAAAAAAAAUUACAAAUACUACAAGUUUUUGAAACAAUUCCUAAUGACGGUUCUUCUGCUUCAAAAUACAAGUUCAUGU